ACAAGUGUAAGACAAACUUCAAGCCAUCUUUGAGUGUUUGACAGUCCAUGCCUGAUGAAGAAAUAAGAGCUCAGAUAACACCCCUCUCCCAUAAAGUGUUCACAAUAGAGAAACCAAGCCAGCAGGUUGAUGGCUGAAGAAUAGGUCUUCUGCAGGGAUUGGAGCCAUGUAUGUGAACAACAGUGAGAGUUACAACAGUGCUGAACCUGGGGAGAAGGUCACAGCAGUCCCAGGGCUGUGUGGUUGCUCAUUUAGUAAUUUAAGAUACAGCUGUGCUACCCACCAUUGCAGUUUUUGAAUGCACUCAAAAAUUAUUGUUGCAUAUAUUUCCAUACUUUUACACAUGUACAUAAGUAUAUACUUUAUUCCCUGAACAUGGGAGCAUUUAUUGCCUGGACUCUUAUGCUUGACAAAAUGCAUCUGAAAUCCACUGCCAACAUCUGUGUAUGGAUGAUUUUCUUCUAACUAUACACCAUGUAAUACACUCACUGUCAAGUGGCAGAGGUACCACCUUAACUUCUAUUUAAAAUCCGUUCUGUGCAAAGCAGCUUUGUGCAGGCUGAGGGGUCGUGCAUGUGCCAAUAUGUUUCCCCUGGUUUUCUGUCUUUUUAGAAACCUGAGGAUGUCCUCCUACCUGUGCACAAACAAGGAUGGGAAGAAUGCUUGGGGCUCAAAUACUAACUCCCAGGAGUUAAGACAGAGCAAUAUAAUAUAUCAGUAACUUGGUUCUGUGUAUGCACAGUAAUGUAGACUUUAAUUAAAAUAUUGUGUUCUGUUAUUUUUUCUGCAGAUGGUUGCCUCAGUAGGUGCCCAAGAGAACAGCAGAAGAAACUAAUGAAAUGGAGCAGGAGUCUGUAGUGAAGCCGUUUGUUGUCUGGAGGACUUUGGCUUUGCUUGCUGGAAUAGUCUGGAAAUGCAUAAUGAAUGAGGCAGGAUACUGCAGAAAGUCAUAAAACAGUCUCAGAAGGGAGGCUUGACGCCUUUGUGGAGAACUAGGUUCUGCAUCUUGCUCAGCCACAAACUUGGUUUCUAUCCCUCAAGCUGAAAAGUUGACCACAAAGUGCAUGCUUCUCUCUUUCUGCAUGUCCAAGGCAAGACAGACAGGACGUUUUUUUAGAGGAGCUAACUGCAGAGGCAGUUGGUGGGAGCUUUAGAUGAUGAGCUAUAAGAAAGCUCAGUACUCCUGAAAAUGAGAGUCUCAGCCUUGUUAUUCCAAAUUUUCAGAUGCUUUUUAUAGUCCUAUACUUAAGUUUCUCCAUCUCUUGGUCCUCUGUUGGUAAAAUGAGAAAAGUUUUUCCCAGGUAUUCUAACCGAACUGUAAGGAAUCCUUGGUGUUUGUGGAGUAUAAGAUGCUGCAGUAAGAACAGCUGGGAGGAAAACACCAGUUUUGUCUGAGCACAAUUUGGGUGAUGUGAAGUAAAUAAGGAUAAAGGGAUGCAUAUUAUAAUAGCAGGGUAAAAAUAAAUAGAAAUAUUUAGCCACUCACUGAGGAAGAUAGGGAUUUUGUAUAAAAAUACAGUCUACGAUCAUGUAAAUAAAGGCUGUAUUUUAACUUGAAGCUGAAGUAAGGAAGCUGUGUGGGUGGUUUUAGCUCUGAUAUUUCUUAGUCACUGGGUUUCUGCUUUAAUAGGUAGCUUUUCAGAUGGAGUUGUGUAUGUAAUGGCAUGGUAAUAACUUCCAUAACAUGAGCUUAAGAUCUCAUUAAAAACAUACAUCUUACUUUAAAACAGUCGUGGCUGACUAAACAGAAUCAUGCCUUUCUCUUCUUAACACUCAUCUCCUCUCUACCCCCAUUUUUCUUGUUGUCACCUCUGUGCUCUCUAGGACAACACACAUGGGCCAGUGUCAUGGGUUUGCCGCAGGUUUAUCGAACACCUGUGACCUGGCUUUUGAGGGACCCCUCCCUGCCCUUGGACCUGCACAGCUCCUCAAGCAGGCUGCAAUGGAAAAAGGUAUGAUGAGAAAGCAGUGCUGACCACCACACUACUGUACUUUUCAAGGCCGUGGAGUUGUGUGCAUCUGUAGGAGGGAGUGAUGCUGAAUACAGGAACCCUGAAACCAGGAUAUAUUUUACAGCAUGGCAGUUAUAAUGCAGGAUCGUAAGAAAUGUUUGUGUUUUAAAAUGUUGUAUCUUAUGUUUAAAGGAUAGUGUUUCUGGCAGUGGAAAAAAUAUAUAAGGGCAUUAAAUGGCUUUCUUUGCAGGCAAUUAAACAAUGAAGUCAGUCUGAGGCAUUUAAAUAAUUGUAACAGAUGUUUAUUGUCUAGUGCAGUUUACUGCAUCCUAUUAUUCCCUUUACAUACAGGAGAGAAGAACACAUGGCAAACUAUACCGUAAAAAAAAUUCUUUACUGCCUUGUGAGCAAUGUGGCUGCUUCUCUGACUUCUUAAUUGAAUCACCUUGGGAACGAGUCAGUAAUAAAUAGUAUUUGGAGAGCAGACAAGUGACUAGCUGCCUGAAGGAGCAGCAGCAACUGGUGUGCAAAGACGUGGGGCUGGCGGUAAAUACCUUUGAGCAAACAAACUGCAGUGGGAUUGCUCUAAGAGUGAUGCUUGGCUCACUCUCAUUACAGAUUUCGGUGCCUCCUGAGAUGCGUGUUUCUGGAAACUGUCCUUUCCUGGCAUUUGUGUGCUCCACGGAGAGAGGAUGGAUAACCUGGGUCCUUGGGUAGGCUUUGGACAGGACAUUUGUAAUCCGAGUUUACCACAGAUUUGUUGUCUGACCAUACUUCUCGCCCCUCAUCUCAGUGAGAUAAGCUGAACCAAGCUUUGAUGUUUCUGAAUCUCUCCAGUCUGGUGGUAACCUGCCCUUUCCCGGUGCAUCAUUUCACCCUCAGGUAAGUUGCUAUUACAUGCAUGACCUUCACAGGGGUCUGCAGUAAAACCACAGCUGAGUGGAAGGUUGGUAGGUCAAGGAGGAGAGGGAGCAGAGCAGAAUCAGUCAACCCCAGCUGUGAGAUGCGGAUCAGUGCCUUUGCUCCUCAGUGUAAUCAGGAGCUUUUAUGAAAAGUCCUGUCAGUUUGUCAGAAAUCCUCUAGCAGGUUUUGAUCUACUGCUUGUCCUGGCAGUGUAAGAGUGUAGCAGAUGAUAGCUGAACUGAGAGUGUUUAAAAUUUCUCUUCUCUCUCCUGAUUAUUCAAAUAAACCUUCACUGGAAAGGCUGCAUUGUUUCCCAGACAUUUUAGGAAAGCCCAUAUACUUUUCUUAAAGCUAAAGAAAUCCCAGUGUAAUUUCACAGCUCUGGUUUGGGGUCAUUCCUGAGUGUGCCGCUGGGCUUCCUUCAGGAACAGAAACCACCUCACACAAAUUGGGAUGACAGAAGCUGGCCUGAGUGAACAAGGACAUGACUGAAUAAUUUAGAGAAGAGAGUUGUAUUUAAGGACAAGGACAAGCUGAAAGGCCUCCCGUCAGAGGUUGCCUACACCUGCCUGCGCCAGGUCUGAAGGGGACUCUGUGCUGGAGAGUCUUGCCCAUAGCUUUUUCAGAUAUACCUCACCUGCCUCCAUACCCCUGAAUCAUCCCCACAGGCACCACAGAGAGAGUGGAGUGAUGUAUGCAGGUAUUGUCUCUGCUGAAAUCAGGGCAAACAUUUUUGCAGUGAUGGGACCUGGAGUCUUGCUCAGAGCAACAGGGCCCUGGUCUCACCUUGGCUGACCAAGCUCAGUGGUGGGAUUCUGGAGACCAGAGGGUGUCAUCUUGGCCUUUAGCUUUCUCAUCCCCACCUUUCCCGUAACUUGCUAAAACCAGCUUUCUGUCAUUUCUCUCCUAAGUGAGACUCUUAGCAACAACCUUUUCGUAUGUUAGAAAGCAGUAAUCAAAUCAGUCUGCCUUCUCGAUGAUGCAGAACAAAUCCAUGGCUGUGUUCCCAGCUGUAAACAAAGGUAAACAGAUGUGGAACUGUGGUCAUCUCCUUCCCAGCAGGAGGGUUUAUCAGAAAAACUCCAUAAAUAAUGAAAAUGUAAAUGGGGCAUAAAAUUCAUUUUUAGAUGAAACUGGAAGUGUUUUGCCUACCACUUU